rnacentral:rRNA from 1 species
UACGAAGGGGGCUAGCGUUGUUCGGAUUUACUGGGCGUAAAGCGCGUGUAGGCGGGCCGUUAAGUUGGGGGUGAAAGCCCGAGGCUCAACCUCGGAACUGCCUUCAAAACUGGCGGCCUGGAGCAAGAUAGAGGCGAGUGGAAUUCCGAGUGUAGAGGUGAAAUUCGUAGAUAUUCGGAGGAACACCAGUGGCGAAGGCGACUCGCUGGAUCUUUGCUGACGCUGAGACGCGAAAACGUGGGGAGCAAACAGG